rnacentral:rRNA from 1 species
AGUGGCGGACGGGUGAGUAACGCGUGAGAAUCUGCCUUGGGGUCGGGGACAACCACUGGAAACGGUGGCUAAUACCGGAUAAGCCGAUUGGUGAAAGAUUUAUUGCCCGAAGAGGAGCUCGCGUCUGAUUAGCUAGUUGGUGAGGUAAGAGCUCACCAAGGCAGCGAUCAGUAGCUGGUCUGAGAGGACGAUCAGCCACACUGGGACUGAGACACGGCCCAGACUCCUACGGGAGGCAGCAGUGGGGAAUUUUCCGCAAUGGGCGAAAGCCUGACGGAGCAAGACCGCGUGAGGGAGGAAGGCUCUUGGGUUGUAAACCUCUUUUCUCAGGUAAGAAGCUCUGACGGUACCUGAGGAAUCAGCCUCGGCUAACUCCGUGCCAGCAGCCGCGGUAAUACGGAGGAGGCAAGCGUUAUCCGGAAUUAUUGGGCGUAAAGCGUCCGCAGGUGGCGAUUCAAGUCUGCUGUCAAAGCACGGGGCUUAACUCCGUAAAGGCAGUGGAAACUGAAUAGCUAGAGUGCCGUAGGGGUAGAGGGAAUUCCCGGUGUAGCGGUGAAAUGCGUAGAGAUCGGGAAGAACAUCGGUGGCGAAAGCGCUCUACUGGACGGCAACUGACACUCAGGGACGAAAGCUAGGGGAGCGAAUGGGAUUAGAUACCCC